AUUUCUUGACCUUUUGGCUAAGAUCAAGUGUACUCUCUGUUCUCAUCAGUUGCUCUAAUAUGUCCUCUAUCCAAAGACAACGUACUAAGUAAAGGGAUUUUUGGAGUCAGGAGUUGGAGUGGGGGCUUGUUCUGUCCACUCUACAUGUCAGUCUGGUACUGCAGUACCUCCAGGAAUAGUGCACCAAAA